rnacentral:lncRNA from 1 species
UGGCUAUACUAUUAACCACGCUCUUAGGCCACCCUUUGGCCAAAGGGUCCACUAGAAAGUCAAUGAAUGUAGGCCAUUAACCGGGCGCCAGGCUCCAUCACGAACACAAAGAACAAUAACCAACACCUCUUCUUUUGUCUCACACCUUUCUCUAGUCCCAUCACCAUGAUGGCAACUCAAGAUUUGGACAAGGAGUAAGUAAUUCUCCAGAUCAAGAACAUAUGUGAGAUUAUUAGAGGAUGUUGGCCCAAACCCCGUCACUGAGUACUUUCCAACGACACGUCACGACCGACGACGAACGAAGCAACGUUGGUUGACUUGGUUCCUCCCCCAAGUCGGCUCGACGCGCACGUAGCAAGCUAGCGCCACAUGCCCCCUGAUCGAUUCUUUUGAUACAGAGACGUACCAGUACUAACUGGACUACGGCUGAAGCUAGCCUAGGUAAACGAUCAGGUUGAUCGAUUCUUGCUAGUAGCUCACGUACGCGAAACACUCGAAACAAUAGUUUGCCACGGGCACGUAUCGUGUCCGAUGAAUAAUUUUAUUGCUUCCUCA